UGUUAGUGGAUGGGGCCUGGUCAGAAGAGAGGAGAUGCUGAGGGCCUGACAUGGAAGGGUGUAUCUUCCUCUCUGUAUUGUUUCACUGCUUCCUCAUGCAUUUGCAUUGUGCAUUUGUGAUUGGUUCAUUGUCUAGUACUUGGAUUGAUGGUGUCAGUGCUACACCCACAUAGGGGUGGAGCCAGGAUGUAAUGUGAUGGCAGGAAGAACGUGUGUCUCGCUCUUUGCCGGUUCCUGCUUGCUGCUUGCAGACUCCGUGAACUGUGGCCCAACCAUGCCCGCCUGCCUUGGAGCCAACUGAGGAUGGACUGAAACCUCCAAAACCUGCAUCUUUGGAACUAGACAACUAUGGAUAAAGGCAACCAUGAGGUCAAUCCCUGCACACAGCAGUCCAGGGUGACAAGGAAGGCUGAUCAAUACUUGAGAGCCAGCCUGGCCUCCCAAACCGUGCUGAGCGUUAUCCUUGGAAGACAAAUAGGAAGACACAGCAGUGAUGUGCAAAUGGCAAGGUGGCUGUUGAUAGAGGCUCCAGCAACAACCCUAGGGUCGAGAUGGCCCUGGCCAAUACACGAAGCAAGUCAGCCAUCUGUGUGCUCAGCGAGCAAAGAGAAAUCCCAGAAAACAAUGUGAAUCAACAGAAGCGGUGCAUGAGAGAAUAUUAAAGCUCAAGCUGUAUUUUCCCUC